UCUACAAGUUCUUUCUUAUGUCUUCUCUAAGACCCGCAGGCUUCUACUUCAAUUCUUGCUUUCUUCCAAACCUGGACAACACCAUCCAUGUGAUUACAUCUUUAUGUUGUGAUGCUCUUGGAUUUACCAAACAGAAUUCUUGAUUCCAAUGGACUUACUCAGGAAACUUAUCCUCUCUCCUCACAGAAGUCUGAGGACUCGGAGACCAGCUCCCUGGAAGUGGAUUGCUCAAACCUGGAACAGAGACAGCAGGAGGAGGGCAGCUGCUUGAAUGGGAUCAUCUGUCUAAGUGGAAAUAAACUAAGCAUCCCAUAGAGUUGGGUGAUUGUGGAGUCUGCUGUGAUAAGAAUUAGCCAUCUGCCGCAUGCCUAAACAAGGACGUGACUGCCCAGAUUCUAAGACAGCUUCCUGAGGAUUCAGAUGACCUCAGAAGAAUUUUUAUGGUAGAAAUCAACUCUAAAUGACCCAUCUGCUAGUGUUCCUUGGUCCAAAUUAGAGCUGCCCCAGCCAUGGUAAUCACAGACCAAUGAGUAGAAGGGAUCUGUGAAGAUGUUGGCACCAAAUGGAUGUGUGCUCUGAGUGGUGGUGGUUUGUUUUCCUACAUGAGAUAUAGUUUGUCAGCAACAGUAUUAUACUAAUGACACACAUGAUCUUAGCCAAAAGGCCGAGAAGUGAUGUAAUAUUAUAUUAAUGAAAGGGAAGAGUGAAAAUGAUCAUUUAUAGAUGAUCUAAUUUUAUACUAAAAAUAUGAAAGAAUUAAGAAAAACACUAGAAUAAGGUGGAUAAAUACAUUAAAAUCAGCAUGUCUAAUUGUGAUGUGGGAAAUAGUGCAGAUUUUGCUCAGCCAUGAUGACGAGCUUAAUGACAGGAUGUUGUCAGCCAGUGCUCAGUGACAGCCUGCCGUGUAAGCUCCAUGGUAGCUCCUAAAGUUUGGGGGAGAAUCCAUAUGCAGUUAAAGUCCUUCCUUUGAUGAGCCCUCAUCAGCCUACUGAAGAACAGGCUAUCCAGGAUGGACUUCCUAACUAGACAUGAUAAUUAAUUUGUCUACAAAACAUACAACAAGAUUCACCUUUUCAAAUUGUAUUUACCUUUCCCCUUCCCCUUUCUUUGACACAUUUGGUUUCUUGAUUACUUUCCUUGACAAUAGUCAAUUAAUUUGUCUUCCUUAUAUUAGUAAAUGUGCAUGCAUAUAACAAACUAACUGUUAUGACAUCAACAAUCAGUUGGAUCUCUUAAAAAAAAAAAGAGGUCCCCUGGAAAAAUAAACCAAUCAAAGCCACUACCCCCAGAAUCUGGCAUUAUUUUUAGUACAAGCGGUUCUCUCUUUAAAGUAAAAAGAAGGUACAUGGCUGUGGUUUUGUUGUCAUGUAACAA